rnacentral:rRNA from 1 species
UGGGGAAUCUUGCACAAUGGGGGCAACCCUGAUGCAGCGACGCCGCGUGAGCGAUGAAGCCCUUCGGGGCGUAAGGCUCUUUCGACCGGAACGAUAAUGACGGUAUCGGGAGAAGAAGCUGCGGCUAACUACGUGCCAGCAGCCGCGGUAAUACGUAGGCAGCAAGCGUUGUUCGGAGUUACUGGGCGUAAAGAGUGCGUAGGCGGUUUUCUAAGUUCGGUGUGAAAUCUCCCGGCUUAACUGGGAGGGUGCGCCGAAGACUGGGAAGCUGGAGUGUGGGAAAGGCAGGCGGAAUUCCUGGUGUAGCGGUGAAAUGCGUAGAUAUCAGGAGGAACACCGGCGGUGUAGACGGCUUGCUAGACCAUAACUGACGCUGAGGCACGAAAGCGUGGGUAGCAAACA